AGCAGCCGCGGUAAUUCCAGCUCCAAUAGCGUAUAUUAAAGUUGUUGCAGUUAAAAAGCUCGUAGUUGAAUUUCGGGAUCAAUUUAUCGGUCGUGCCAAUGGUAUGAACUGGUACAAUUGGUUUCUCCCUUCUGACGAAGCAUGAUGUCAUUAAUUUGGUGUCGUGGGGAAUCAGGACUGUUACUUUGAAAAAAUUGAGUGUUUAAAGCAAGCAUUAGCUUGAAUACAUUAGCAUGGAAUAAUGAAAUAGGACGUUUGAUCCUAUUUCGUUGGUUUCUAGGAUCGACGUAAUGAUUAAUAGGGAUAGUUGGGGGCAUUAGUAUUCAAUUGUCAGAGGUGAAAUUCUUGGAUUUAUUGAAGACUAACUACUGCGAAAGCAUUUGCCAAGGAUGUUUUCAUUAAUCAAGAACGAAAGUUAGGGGAUCGAAGACGAUCAGAUACCGUCGUAGUCUUAACCAUAAACUAUGCCGACUAGGGAUCGGAUGAUGUUAAUUUUUAAUGUACUCAUUCGGCGCCUUAC
rnacentral:rRNA from 1 species